rnacentral:rRNA from 1 species
UACGGAGGGUGCAAGCGUUAUCCGGAUUCACUGGGUUUAAAGGGUGCGUAGGCGGGCAGGUAAGUCCGUGGUGAAAUCCCCGAGCUUAACUCGGGAACUGCCGUGGAUACUAUCUGUCUUGAAUAUUGUGGAGGUUAGCGGAAUAUGUCAUGUAGCGGUGAAAUGCUUAGAUAUGACAUAGAACACCAAUUGCGAAGGCAGCUAGCUAAACAGUUAUUGACGCUGAGGCACGAAAGCGUGGGGAUCAAACAGG